UACGGAAGGUCCGGGCGUUAUCCGGAUUUAUUGGGUUUAAAGGGAGCGUAGGCCGUCUGUUAAGCGUGUUGUGAAAUGUCGGGGCUCAACCUGGGCAUUGCAGCGCGAACUGGCAGACUUGAGUGCACGGGAAGUAGGCGGAAUUCGUCGUGUAGCGGUGAAAUGCUUAGAUAUGACGAAGAACUCCGAUUGCGAAGGCAGCCUGCUGUAGUGCAACUGACGCUGAAGCUCGAAAGCGUGGGUAUCGAACAGG
rnacentral:rRNA from 1 species